rnacentral:tRNA from 1 species
GUAGUUAUGUCAGAAGUAUAUGAGUUAGUUUUAAGCAUUAAUUAUGGAGGAAAUCCUAGCUAUU